GAUUUAAGUUUAAAAAAUCAAAAUAAGCAGGAUUAAGGAGUCAAAUUUUAUAAUUAUCUGAUUGUUUACUAAUUUUAAGAUAAAGCAGGGAUUCCAGUGUAAUUAAUCCAAAAAGGACAAAACAGUGUGGUAUGUUACAGUGUAGCAGGAUCCGCCAAAUGGUUGUCGGAUUUUCAAUUUAUUUAUCCUCAAACUUAGGAAACUACGACACUGGCCCUUCUAACAGGUGUAAUCCCCUAAAUCUAACAUAACUUUUUUUUCCCUUUUAAUUUUAUAAUAAUUAAGGUCAUAUUUAGUAUCGCAAUACCGUAUCUUUUACAUUG
rnacentral:lncRNA from 1 species